AAAGACAGCAGCAGCCGCGGUAAUACAGAGGGUGCGAGCGUUAAUCGGAUUUACUGGGCGUAAAGCGUGCGUAGGCGGCUUCUUAAGUCGGAUGUGAAAUCCCUGAGCUUAACUUAGGAAUUGCAUUCGAUACUGGGAAGCUAGAGUAUGGGAGAGGAUGGUAGAAUUCCAGGUGUAGCGGUGAAAUGCGUAGAGAUCUGGAGGAAUACCGAUGGCGAAGGCAGCCAUCUGGCCUAAUACUGACGCUGAGGUACGAAAGCAUGGGGAGCAAACAGGAUUAGAUACCCCUGUAGUCCCUGUCUCUUAUAU
rnacentral:rRNA from 1 species